rnacentral:lncRNA from 1 species
CAAGAGUAGACUGGGGAGAGGCCCCUGGCCUGGGGUCAUGGUGUUGGGGCAACUGCGACCCUGCCCUUCCCACCCUUGGGGCACAUGGCCCUGUCUGCUUAUGCAUGGGAAUUCCCGGGGCCAGGCCUUCACUGUGGAAUGUGACCAAAUGGGCUUGGCCGGUCCAGAAGGAGGGUGGGGCGAUGAGAACCCCUGGAGGGUUCCAGAACAGAGACUGAGAGUAUUCACAGGUCAACCUAGCCUGAACAUUGGCUAGGAAAGGAUUGGGAGAAAGAGAAACAGGGGCCUGGGGAGAUGUCAGGGCGUAGGGGACAACACCACAGGGAGUCAGUCAAGAGUGGCCAGCUGGGUUGUGCCAUGCAGAGGACCCCAGAAACUGAGAGGGGACGGGCAGUGGCCUGGCUGGACACCUGGAACUCAGCACCCAAUGAGUUUUCAUAGAUAAGGCCAUCCCUACUUCCUCCUGGCGCAGAGGGAGGAAUGGAGAUUUCCUUCACAAAUGCAACUGUCUCUCAUCAAAGGGCGAGCAAAUUCCACUCCUCGGAGCCUGCUUCUCAUCUGCAGUUUUAAAAUUAACCAGCCUAAAAUCCUCAUCAGGGGAGACUUGCUCGGUCACCAAGAAAGCCUUGGCCACCAGGACUUGCCGAUCCAAGUGUUACAGAGCAGCUGUCAGCUUCCCCAACAGCUGCUCCGGCUUUGUGGUGUCCACAGGCUGCCCCAAGAAGUGGAGCAGGAGAGACUGGGUGGGGAAGAGAGGGGCAGCUUAUCUUGGGCCCCUCCAAACCUCCUCAGCCUCCUCUCCGCCCUCUCCAGCCACCACCCAUUAGUGGUGCCCUGUGGGCUCUGUGUUCAGGAUUCUGAAGUUUCGUUCAGGCUCAGGGGAAAGAGUGCUGUGAUAGAUUAGCCAUGUCUGCCAGGGGCAGUGGAUGGUAGGUGGGAUAUGGGCCAACUGGUCCCUUCCAGCCCUAGGGGUCCUGGCCCAAGCCUGCAUUAUAGCUUGCAGCUGGAUGGCGACAUGCUGCCAUGCCAGGUACUCAUCCAUGCGGGCACGGGCCUACAGCUCAGGUGGGUACCACUGUGCCUCCAUCUGGUACUUCUGUUGAGAUAUAAAAGGACAGCCACACUGUGGGUGGGGGGGUCAGAGAUCUCCCCACCCCUCCAGGACUGGGCAGCUCCAUCUCCCACAACAGGGUGAUUUGACUGGGUUUCUCUCCGGCUCCACCCCCAGGGGAGGACCUCCCCACUCCCACAUCCCCCUCCAGGCGGCAUCUUCCCCCGCUGAACGGUUCCAUUCCUCCAUUUCCAAACUCUGCUUUUCCCUGGGCCCACGUUUCAACCUCCUCUCCCCGUUGCAGCUCUCCGGCCUGCCCUCUGCCUCCAGGCCCAGGUCUCUGGCUUCAGGGUCCCUACGCAGAGGGAGGGGGCAGACCUGCCGUGGACGCCCUCUCUGCCCAGGGGGCCUCCAAGUUUCCCUCUUGCGCCGGUUCUCCCUAGUGCCCAGGGUCUGGGGGAGGCUCAGAGGGUCCCCCUCUCUCGAUCCCCCUUGGGUUCCCAGCACUUGGUGCCCAGUUUCCAUUGUGGGGCAAGCCCUGGGGGUUGGUUGUGUAAUUACCCCAUUUUACGGAGGAGAAUCCUGGGUGUGAAGUUCUGCGACCUGCCCUGGGCAGAGAGUGAGGGCGGAGGGAGCUGAGAUUCAGAGCCCAGUGCCACCCUGGGCUGCCCGGCUCCUGUGACUCUGAAAGGACAUGUUCGGGACCUCUGGAGAGGGGCUAACCUCCAGCCUGGAAGGCUGCUUCCUCCACGACCUGCUGGGUGCCCUGCCAAGCCGCCACCCCUCCUGGCUCUGGGGAGUGGAGGUGGGCUGGGCCGUGCCUCUCUUGGGGGUUGGUCACUGGUUUCCCCAAAGCAGGGUCGCCAGACUGGCCCUCCUCCUUCUUCACAGGGUGUUGCAAACCCACGGAUACUUGUCCAUCCCACUCUCUCCCUCUCUCUGGCUGUCCCCACCCCCACCCCAGCUUCCGGAGGCCAGGGAGCUUCCACAGUCCUCCCGUGGGGGUGACCAGCGGGCUAGGAGACCUGCUGGCAGGCACAGGCUUCAGGUCUUUCGGGCUUUCCGUGUCUCCCCUCCCACUGUGCCUGUGCCACACACACACACUCACUCACUUACACAUACAAACACACACACUCACACAUAGUCACACACUACAUGCCUCCCAACCCAGGCCUCUCCUCUCUCCACUCUGAGUAACCAUAAAGCCCUCUCAACUGCCCUUGUCCAGUGUCCCCCACCUCAGCUGUGGCAUCUGCAACCCCUAAGGCUCAGGCCAGACCCCCGGGAGCCGGCCCUCUUCCAACCCAACCCUCCAUGACCACGUGCUGUCAGUCCCCCUCCUGUACCACUCACCGCCCCCC